rnacentral:misc_RNA from 1 species
GCACAUAAUAGUUAAAGCAAAUAUAACUUGCUUCAUUAUUCAUGAGACAACCAAUACAAGUGGCCUAGCCUUUUCCUUUUCACUCAUUUCCUUCCUUUCCUCGAUUUCCCUUCUCUUCCCAUCUACCAUCAAAAAACAAUGAUCGAAAUUGCAUGGACAGCUUGACUAUCUCUUGCCUCUUUCUCAAACCCUUCUUUUUUUACUUGGGGCUAAUCAUGUUUGUACAAUUCUACAUCAAAUGAUCAUUUUCUACAAAAAUUGCAUCAAGUGAAGAAGAGAGAGAGAGAGAGAAAAGAAAAAAAUUUACAGUGGAUCAUCAAGAAUUGCAUUGCUAGCUAGGGAGAGUCUACGUAAUAAUUGCUCAGAUAAACUUCUCAAACUGUAAAUAUCUUCCUCACUUUCUUAAUGGUUCUGCGACAUAUGGGACAAGUACCAGCCUCUUCUGCUAUCCUUGUUCCACAGGUAAAACAAGCUACACAAUGCCCACAUGGAAGAAAGAAGCAAUCUCUUGGGGCAUCAAAGCAAAUGGCACAUAGACGAUAGAGAUUUUCUCCUUGUGCUAGUGCUUUCCCUUCGAGUAAUGAAUUCGCUGCAAGUAACUCAUCCAGAUCCUGUCCAUCCUGUGAGAUAGAAUCGUAAGAUGAACCCUGACUUGAGAUAUCAUCUUUGGGUGAGAGCAAUGGGGCUCGUUCAGAUCUUGUCUCUCUUGCUUGAUUUCCGUCUCUAUCAGAAGCUUGGAAAAUAUUAAGAAAUCUCAAGGUUAACAAGAUGAGGAUUGUCAUCACGCCUGAUCCAAUGAAGUAUGUGAUCCAUCUCGGUCCAUAAGAUACUUUGACAUACCAGUUGUCAUCUGAAGAACCCUGAAAGAACAUAACUUAUUCGCAUUUAGGAAUAGAAAUUAAAUACUUCAUGUUCCACACAAUCCAGUAGCAGGAAAGAGCAAUGCUGCAUGUGCUUUACCAUCCUUUGAUGGAUAUAUAUAAGGACUAAAAAUAAUUUCUUACAUAACUUUGCAUCAACCAUUUUGAUCCAAAGAAAAUGGAUCUCACUGAAAGACCAAAAAGCAAACUUUCAUUCCCAAAACGGUUAGUAUUAUUUGCAAGUGAUGUUUCCAAAGGCAGCAUAUGAUUAAAAUAAAAAACUAUUUUAGCAAGUUACCUCUUUAGGACCUGGAGAUGUUAAGACAGCUACACUUGUCCCAAGGAGAUAUAUCUUCCAACUGCAUAGACUGUGACUGACGGAGCACAUGUAAUACGCCUGACUUGUGUUAUAAAUGAAAGCCUUAAUCACAAAUUUCAACUCUACCUCCACAUCCUUGGAGUUCAGAUUCCCCACAGCUAUAUAAUAAUUUGAAGACUUCAAAAUUUCUUGUUGGAUUUUGCCAGUUCCAUAAAUAAUAUUCCAAGACAAAGUUGAAUUAGGAUAUGAAGGGUCAUCUAUCCACUCCACAAGGCUUUCCCUACCUUGAGCAAUUACAAGGGACAAAGCUGAGGAACUUGAGGAUUUUAUAGAAUAAAAGAUAUCGACCUUAGACCCUUUAUUUAGGAAGUGUGCCCAUUCCUUGUGAAAAUCAAUAGGCACAACUGAAUUGUGUGUUUCAGUCCAAGUGAUUUCAACAUCCAGGGGUGGAUUUUUGUAAAAUCCAUAUAGCACUGGCCCAGGUUUUGGCUCAUCUAGCUGCUGCACCUUAAUAGAUUGAACGAAUAAAGGAUUGGUUUUGACAAGGCAUGAGGAAUUGGGGCCCAACUGCAAGUUCACAGACCCGUAGAAUCCAAGAAUCAGAGUCAUGGACGCAAAGAACCAAAAAGUGAGGAGAACAGCAAGGCAUGACCAUACAUCAUCUCUAAUCUGGCUGGGAGCAACAUCAGAUAUGGAUAUAUUUACUCGAUAAGAAGAAGAAGAAGAAGAUUGAUGGUUGUGUUGGUGGUGAGAAUUAUCCUGAUUUUGUGGUUGGUCAAUCCUUCCAUGUUCUUCGUCGACUCGAGAAGUAGAAACUGAAGAAGAAGGAAGAAGAGGCCCACGUUGAUCAUAAUUAUCUGCUUCUUCCAUGGUAACAAAUUAUGGUGGGAAACAAUUAGGCCUCUGGGUUUCGUCUGAUAAGAAAAAAUGAAAUUGAUAAGAAAGUAGCAUUGAUUCAAAUGGCGGUGGUGGGAGAAGAACUUAGAGACUCAACUAGCAGUCUCUCUGUGUCCUACAAUCCUGCUCCUCCUCCUCCUCCUCCUCUAGGGAUGGAAAUGGCACAACUUAUUUGUUUAGGUUGUCGGACAUGGUUGAUGUAUUCACGUGGUGCAACAAGUGUGAGAUGCUCCUGUUGUCACACUACAAACCCUGCACCAGUAUCUAGCCAAGUUGCUCACAUCAAUUGUGGGAACUGCCGGACAACACUCAUGUAUCCAUAUGGAGCUCCAUCUGUCAAAUGUGCUAUCUGCCAAUAUGUUUCUAAUGUUAGUAUGGCUAAUGUGAGGGUUCCACUUCCUGCUAAUCGACCUAAUGGUGCUACCGGAAUGAUACCAUCUACUUCAACAUCAACACCCCAUUCUCAGACUCAAACUGUUGUUGUGGAAAACCCCAUGUCUGUUGAUGAAAGUGGAAAUCUGGUGAGCAAUGUUGUUGUUGGUGUAACAACAGAACGAAAAUAGUGCGGUUAUUAUGAGAUCCUAUUGUUCAUAUGGCGGCAAACAGUCAUUAUGGAAGUUGAUUGUGUAUAUUUUGUUGGAGAUAACUAAGAUUAACAUUGAUUUGUUAAACUAUUGCACAUAUAUAAGCUCUCAGGGAAAUUUAAGGUGUGGUGUACAUUGUGAGGAUGAGACUUGAUUGCCAGACUGAACUAUUAUUGUGAGUGAUUGUGCUUAUCUGAACAUACCCAUUUUCUAACAAAAAUAAAGCUUUGGAGCAAAGUUAAGGUGAGUUUUCUGUCUCCUCCAUUCAGUUUCUAUUCCAAUAACUAGCGGUUCUGCACUGCUGCUGUGCUUAGAUAUGCUGGAUCUAAGGUUUAAACGGAUGAAAAGCCAAACAAGCUGUCGACCUUGCGCUGGCACUCUCAACCCUUCUAAGAUUUCCUUUUAUGUAUAUGUAGUUGGGAAAAUUUUUAUUCUGUUUGCACUCUUGUGACUUCAUCCAUUAUACAACAUUGACUCUUUCAAAUAUAAACAUUGACUCUUUGAAAUAUAAACAACCUCAAAAUAAAUAGACAUGUAGUUAAGCAUCUCUCAAAUAAAUAUUAUAUGUAAAUAUUGACGGUCAAAAUAUGUACACAACCUUAGGGCGAGGAGGGUUAGCUUUGAUCUCCCUCCUAGCCCUAAAUUGGAAUCCGAUGAUUCAUUGAAAU